GGAGCAGUGGCCAGGCUGAAGGCUCUGGUUUGGGGAGGAGAUGGGUGGUGGUGCAAGGAUCAUGCAGCACCUUUGUGUCUGCCUGGACCUCCUGCUGGACCAGGAAAGGGAAAAAUCUCUUCCUUUUCUGUACUUACUGAUAAUGAAGGGUGAUUUCAUUCUGCUAGGUGAUGUUUUAAUGACCAAGAAGAACACAGGCUGCAGCUGAAGGCAAGGGAACUCUUCUGCUGUGGUGACCCUCAGCCUGUGGUAACCACGGAGCAAGGCAGCUGAAGGAGCACACCUGUCCCCUGGGGAGCUGCACACAGGGACUGAGUUGUUCCCCUCCCAGGCCUCUCUGGGAAGCCAAGGCUCCAGCAGCAUCACAUACACUUGUUCUCUCUGGCCUGCAGCAAACACUUCUCUAUAAUUCAUGGGAUAUCUGGGAGAGAAGCAAAUGUCGUGUGGAGCCCGAUGGAGGAGCUGCAGCUGAACAUCUGGAUGGUUUUACAAGCAAGAACAAGCACAAGUCAGCUCUGAACAUGGACACCAGAACAGCCCCCACGAUGGCUGGAUAUUUUAUUACAUGGACCUGUCAGAAAAAUCCAACCUAGAAGUACCCUCUCAUGCCAUUUCCUCAAACUUUGCUGCAUUGACACAUUUUGGCAAGGGAUUUUCAGCAUUUCGUGCUCUGCCAAUGAGGAGGUGCACAAGAAGUUGGGAGGGAGGAUGGGCAGGACAGCUGACCCAAACUAUCCAAAGGGACAUUCCAGGGACAUUCCACACCCAGAGCUUCUUGUCCUGCACAGAAACUGAGGGGAUUUGGCUGGAAGGGGCUGAUACUGCUCAAGGAUGGGGUGGGCAUUGGGCAGGGUGGUGAAGAACAUUUGUUUUUGCUG